ACCUCCCCCUACAAAACCUACACCCACUCCCAAAAUACAUCUCCCAUUUCUAAAAUUCUCUGCAUGAUACCUUCAGAUCUUGACCCUAGAAAAGAAAAAGAAAAAAAAUUAUAGGCGUGAACUAUCCCUGAAAAAAGACCGGAAAAUCCAUAGCGGCCCCUCCUUCAUUUAACUCUCUUUCUUCCUUUCUGAAAAUAAUGUCAAAGACCCAAUCCUCUGUAUAGUUUACCUUUAAAUUAGUAAACAAGAACCUUCAAAUCAGUAAAAAAUCAAAAUAUCCGAGCCACAAAAUGUCAUGUGCAAGUUUUUCCAAAUUAUUAUAGGUUUCAAUAAAAAGCAUACAAAUCCGAUUAUCGGAUGACAAAGCAUUUUAAAAAAUAAUGGGUUUGCUCAAGGGUUUUCAUAUUUUUGCGGUAGAAGUGCAUUGAGCUACUGUUAAACGAAGCAAACUUAUACAACUGAUGAGACACUCAGAGAAUUAAAAUCUCCUAAAUCAAGGAGAAGGGGAUAGACAAAAAAGAAAAUUUGAGAGGCGGAAGAAUAGAUAUAUUGAUUUGGGGGAGGGGGGAGGGGGUGAAAAAGAGAAAAUGGUAUUCUCCGGUGGCUGAAAAUUUUUUCUGGCGGUGGAAGUAUUAGAGUUGUUGGCGGUAAUUAGGAGAAGAGAUGGUGGGAUAGGGAAAAAAAUGAAGAUAAAGUUAAUAGUUUAUUUUCAUAUGUGGCACUAGUAAUGACGUGGCAUCCAAUGUGUAGGAGAUAGCAUUACACGUACUGACAAUCUUCUGUCAUAAUCGUUUAUUAUAUACGGUUUGAAUGAGUAUUAAUGUCCAAUUUACAAAACGCUAUUUUUGGGGACCGGGAUGAAAGUGACACAAAUAUAAGUGCCAUUUAGGCUAUUCUGCCCCUUUUAUCGUAAGUUUGACAAUAUAUCCUUGGUGUAUAUUGAGCCUAUCUCGAGUGUGAUUGUGUAUAUGUGUAUAAAUUUGUGUACCCCAAAUGUAUUUUGUAUCCUGAAUGUAUAAUCUGUCUGAAAAUAUAGUGUAUAUAAAUUAUAUACAAUUUUGUGUGUCAAAUAUGUGCACACCGUGUAUUUGGAG
rnacentral:lncRNA from 1 species